rnacentral:lncRNA from 1 species
CCGCAUCCACUCUGCUAAGCAAGGCGAUAGGAUAAUAUACGUAAGCACAUAUUACCGCAAGGGUCCAGGCCUGAGCGACAGGCCACCCGUCCAACGAACCGAGUUGCUGGUGAUUCCCUUUGCACGUUUCCUAGGGACCGGGCGCUCAGCAAAUUUGAGCGCGUAGAAACACUGGCCCUGUAUACAUACUAAAUGUGCGCCCGAAACGCCUGCUCGUCACCACACUUAGGUGCCAUCCACCAGGACAUUGACCCUUAAGGCUCUUCUGCUCACCUUCUGGAACAAUGGAAAAAAAUUAAAGAUGUCUUAUAACAUGCAAGCCGUCUGUAUACAAGCCACGCGUUGUUUCAGGCCUAGCCCGGGUACGCUCCUUCCGUGUGAUCCCCAAGCCUGGGCAACGUCAAUCCUGGAAAAACUGUAAAAGGUACGCAAUUUUUGUAUGUGGCCUAGUUCACACCCACGACUCCAUCCGUGGCCAAAGAUGUAAUUCUAUCAGUCCCACAAAAUCGAGAAAAGGAAAUGGAAUGUUAUUUGUUUUGUGGGGUUAUCUAUAUGUUAAUGACUGUAACCGGUUCGCCCGUGUGUGCUGAACCAAUGUUCGCUUCAGCUACGAG